AUUAGGCAUGCAAGUCGAACGGUAUGGUGCUUUCGGGCAUCAGAGAGUGGCGAACGGGUGAGUAACACGUAGGUUAUCUACCCUCAAGACGGGGACAACCCAGGGAAACUUGGGCUAAUACCGGAUGAAAGCAACCGUGAGGUUGUUUAAAAGAUGGCUUUAAGCUGUCGCUUGGGGAUGAGCCUGCGUCCUAUUAGUUAGUUGGUGAGGUAACGGCUCCCCAAGGCAAUGAUAGGUAGGCGGCCUUAACGGGUGGUCGCCCACACUGGGAUUGAGAAACGGCCCAGACUCC
rnacentral:rRNA from 1 species